AUGGCGAGGAACGGUGACUGCGGUGAUCGCGUUUUCUUUGUCCGCUCGGUCGGACCGGUUAAAGACCGGACCGGACCGAGAUUUUUUCGGGCCGAAUUUGGCAGCCCGGACCGGCCCUUUUCUCUAGCGGGCCAGGACCGAGCGGGCCACGAGCGGGCCAGAAAGACCGCUCGUUACGUCCACCCUGAACUGUAUCUGCGACGAUCGCCUGAGUACCAGACUGUAAUCGCCUCCCCCCUGCAACAAACUCGAGGACCUAGCCGCUCUCGACGAAGGAAAAUACUACGUGAUUUUCGGGAAACGCCGAGAGUUGCCAAAUCAACACCAGAGACCAAUUUGCCAAGUGUGAUUUCCUUCAUACGUACCAUCCUGCGGGCCGCACGAAUCGUGCAAUGUUGGGCCACAGUAAGAGUAGGAACAGAAGACGGCCCAGCCCGACAGACCGGCAGUUUUGAAAUCGCCGGCCGACGGCCGCCUGCCUCGGUCGCAUCCGACUCCGGCAAUGGCGCCGCCGCCAAUCCAGGAACGAAGGGAGCCACCUCCCUUGGACACCGGACAACAGAACUCUGA
rnacentral:rRNA from 1 species